GACGAACGCUGGCGGCGUGCCUAAUACAUGCAAGUAGAACGCACAGUUUAUACCGUAGCUUGCUACACCAUAGACUGUGAGUUGCGAACGGGUGAGUAACGCGUAGGUAACCUGCCUGGUAGCGGGGGAUAACUAUUGGAAACGAUAGCUAAUACCGCAUAAUAUUAAUUAUUGCAUGAUAAUUAAUUGAAAGGUGCAAUUGCACCACUACCAGAUGGACCUGCGUUGUAUUAGCUAGUAGGUGAGGUAACGGCUCACCUAGGCGACGAUACAUAGCCGACCUGAGAGGGUGAUCGGCCAAACUGGGACUGGGACACGGCCCAGACUCCUACGGGAGGCAGCAGUAGGGAAUCUUCGGCAAUGGACGAAAGUCUGACCGAGCAACGCCGCGUGAGUGAAGAAGGUUUUCGGAUCGUAAAGCUCUGUUGUAAGAGAAGAACGGGUGUGAGAGUGGAAAGUUCACACUGUGACGGUAUCUUACCAGAAAGGGACGGCUAACUACGUG
rnacentral:rRNA from 1 species